AUAUAUAAAGAAGAGUUUUCAUCUCUCCCAUGAUGCCACCUAAGAUGCCACAUAGGAAAUUCGAGCUCUCUCAAGCUGCCACGCGUCCAGUUUCUUAAACCGCAUCGUUUCAUUUAAGUUGUAAGCAAUAUUUGUGGGCUUCGGUUAGAAUUGGGUUUACGUUUUGCUUAACAAAGCCCAUCCUGAUAAAGAUCAUAUACAACAUAGACGAAACGCUGCAUUUUCCUAUUGUAGGGUUGAACGUAUUCAUCUCCGCCACAGCACGAACUAGAUUUUCGAACGAGAUGGUUCAUCUUCUUUCUUACGAUCUGAAAGGAUACCAAUUUCAUUCAUCCUCUUAAAGCCUUCCAUCAAUCUAGCAUCCACAAUCUAUCUUCAAUGUGAGCUUCAAUCCUGCAAAGCGGUGUAUCUGUAUGUAUAAAAAGACCGUAUGCUCUUCCUCCACUUAUGUUUGUUGUAUUUCCUCCACCGUCUAAGAGCAGCCUCUGUUUUUUCCUGGUCGGCUUCUUAUCUAAGAGGAAGCUUAUCAGCGAGUGAGGGGGAGAAGAAAAACAGAGAGAUGAUGUGUAAUACGCGUAAGAGUUAUGCCACCUUUGAAGAUAUGACGAAAAUGUCCAAGCCGAGCUUCAUCCAUUAAUGGCGGCCGAAGGAAAUCACUUGGAGGCAGAGGAGGGAGGACAUUACUUUGCGGUGGUGAUGGUCGGAGUUGGUUUAUCUAAAAGGAAUCGGCACCUCCUAUCAACCUCUUCAUGAUACUGACCGGCUUCAGUUUAUCAAUAGCAUAAGAACAGGUCCUCUUGGUGCUCAUAUCAAAACUUGUAUUGAACUCUUAUUUGAGACAAGGCAAGCCUUACACCAGAGCAAAUAAACGGAAUAUUGCUAUGUUGUUAUCCUUUCCGACAAGGUUGUUUUGAUGGUUUGAGGAACAGCGUAUGAUGGAAGGAGGUUCUCAUACGAGAUAUUAACAGGUUUCUCUUCUCAGGAGAAGAAAGGAGUAUUGUGGAUGGGUUUUAAGGGAUCAGCAAAAAAAUUGGUCCUUGAUUCUGCUCUCCUACGUGCUGUAUAAGAUCUUUGGAUCAUUUGGUUUAUUUUAUGAUUGGAACAGUUGUUUUUCAGCUGUUUUAUGAUUGAUAUGCAUGUAUUGUCUUUCCUUCAGUCAGUGCUUUGAUCCAAAUGAGUUAAGUAAAGCAGCUCAACCGGUAAUCAAGAAUUGGUGUUUUUUGUAAAGGAUACACGGUUAUAGUUUGUUUAUUUUUUCUGUCUCUCCAUCUGAUUUUUCUUUCUCAUGUUACAAUCGUUGGCUAAAGUCAAGUCUUUCAUAAAGGAGUAUAGGGCUAAGCUGUAUAAUCUGAAAAAAUGUGAAAGAGUUGGACGAUAUACAGCAGGGCUGAAGUGGCUAAGGUGGAAACACUUUAAAAGGAACUUAAAAAUCCAAACAGCUUGAACUGGAAGCGUGUUGUGAAAACCAGAGGGAUGAACCAAGGCUGUGUUCAAAGGUUUCAGUAAUCAUAUAUAAAUUCUUCACAUAUCUAUAUAAUAUUCAUAAAUUAUGACCUCAAAAAUGAUAAAUUUUGACUUCUCAAAGCGUGGAGUAAGUAGAAAGUGUUCCACAAUAUGCCUUACACAAACAUGGCAAAGAACAUGUCAUAUUUCUUCACAUCUAGAAACGUAAAACUACGGACAUAAUACACAUAUGACAUACACAUAUCAACUAAACAUAAAAUAUUUAUAUCCAGACCAUGAAGAACUUUGAAUUAAAAAGAGAUCCACAAUGCGUGUUGAU